rnacentral:rRNA from 1 species
GACGAACGCUGGCGGCGUGCUUAACACAUGCAAGUCGAACGGAAAGGCCCUGCUUGCAGGGUACUCGAGUGGCGAACGGGUGAGUAACACGUGGGUGAUCUGCCCUGCACUUCGGGAUAAGCCUGGGAAACUGGGUCUAAUACCGGAUAGGAGCCAUUUUUAGUGUGAUGGUUGGAAAGUUUUUUCGGUGUAGGAUGAGCUCGCGGCCUAUCAGCUUGUUGGUGGGGUAAUGUCCUACCAAGGCGGCGACGGGUAGCCGGCCUGAGAGGGUGGACGGCCACAUUGGGACUGAGAUACGGCCCAGACUCCUACGGGAGGCAGCAGUGGGGAAUAUUGCACAAUGGGCGCAAGCCUGAUGCAGCGACGCCGCGUGGGGGAUGACGGCCUUCGGGUUGUAAACGCCUUUCGCUAGGGACGAAGCUUUUUGUGACGGUACCUAGAUAAGAAGCACCGGCUAACUACGUG